UACGUAGGGUGCGAGCGUUAAUCGGAAUUACUGGGCGUAAAGCGUGCGUAGGUGGUUUGUUAAGUCAGAUGUGAAAGCCCCGGGCUCAACCUGGGAAUUGCAUUUGAUACUGGCGAACUAGAGUGAGGUAGAGGAGAGUGGAAUUCCCGGUGUAGCAGUGAAAUGCGUAGAGAUCGGGAGGAACAUCAGUUGCGAAGGCGGCUCUCUGGACCAUCACUGACACUGAGGCACGAAAGCGUGGGGAGCAAACAGG
rnacentral:rRNA from 1 species